rnacentral:rRNA from 1 species
GGGUUGUGAGGUUAAGCGACUAAGCGUACACGGUGGAUGCCCUGGCAGUCAGAGGCGAUGAAGGACGUGCUAAUCUGCGAUAAGCGUCGGUAAGGUGAUAUGAACCGUUAUAACCGGCGAUUUCCGAAUGGGGAAACCCAGUGUGUUUCGACACACUAUCAUUAACUGAAUCCAUAGGUUAAUGAGGCGAACCGGGGGAACUGAAACAUCUAAGUACCCCGAGGAAAAGAAAUCAACCGAGAUUCCCCCAGUAGCGGCGAGCGAACGGGGAGCAGCCCAGAGCCUGAAUCAGUGUGUGUGUUAGUGGAAGCGUCUGGAAAGGCGCGCGAUACAGGGUGACAGCCCCGUACACAAAAAUGCACAUGCUGUGAGCUCGAUGAGUAGGGCGGGACACGUGGUAUCCUGUCUGAAUAUGGGGGGACCAUCCUCCAAGGCUAAAUACUCCUGACUGACCGAUAGUGAACCAGUACCGUGAGGGAAAGGCGAAAAGAACCCCGGCGAGGGGAGUGAAAAAGAACCUGAAACCGUGUACGUACAAGCAGUGGGAGCACGCUUCGGCGUGUGACUGCGUACCUUUUGUAUAAUGGGUCAGCGACUUAUAUUCUGUAGCAAGGUUAACCGAAUAGGGGAGCCGAAGGGAAACCGAGUCUUAACUGGGCGUUAAGUUGCAGGGUAUAGACCCGAAACCCGGUGAUCUAGCCAUGGGCAGGUUGAAGGUUGGGUAACACUAACUGGAGGACCGAACCGACUAAUGUUGAAAAAUUAGCGGAUGACUUGUGGCUGGGGGUGAAAGGCCAAUCAAACCGGGAGAUAGCUGGUUCUCCCCGAAAGCUAUUUAGGUAGCGCCUCGUGAAUUCAUCUCCGGGGGUAGAGCACUGUUUCGGCAAGGGGGUCAUCCCGACUUACCAACCCGAUGCAAACUGCGAAUACCGGAGAAUGUUAUCACGGGAGACACACGGCGGGUGCUAACGUCCGUCGUGAAGAGGGAAACAACCCAGACCGCCAGCUAAGGUCCCAAAGUCAUGGUUAAGUGGGAAACGAUGUGGGAAGGCCCAGACAGCCAGGAUGUUGGCUUAGAAGCAGCCAUCAUUUAAAGAAAGCGUAAUAGCUCACUGGUCGAGUCGGCCUGCGCGGAAGAUGUAACGGGGCUAAACCAUGCACCGAAGCUGCGGCAGCGACGCUUAUGCGUUGUUGGGUAGGGGAGCGUUCUGUAAGCCUGUGAAGGUGUGCUGUGAGGCAUGCUGGAGGUAUCAGAAGUGCGAAUGCUGACAUAAGUAACGAUAAAGCGGGUGAAAAGCCCGCUCGCCGGAAGACCAAGGGUUCCUGUCCAACGUUAAUCGGGGCAGGGUGAGUCGACCCCUAAGGCGAGGCCGAAAGGCGUAGUCGAUGGGAAACAGGUUAAUAUUCCUGUACUUGGUGUUACUGCGAAGGGGGGACGGAGAAGGCUAUGUUGGCCGGGCGACGGUUGUCCCGGUUUAAGCGUGUAGGCUGGUUUUCCAGGCAAAUCCGGAAAAUCAAGGCUGAGGCGUGAUGACGAGGCACUACGGUGCUGAAGCAACAAAUGCCCUGCUUCCAGGAAAAGCCUCUAAGCAUCAGGUAACAUCAAAUCGUACCCCAAACCGACACAGGUGGUCAGGUAGAGAAUACCAAGGCGCUUGAGAGAACUCGGGUGAAGGAACUAGGCAAAAUGGUGCCGUAACUUCGGGAGAAGGCACGCUGAUAUGUAGGUGAAGCGACUUGCUCGUGGAGCUGAAAUCAGUCGAAGAUACCAGCUGGCUGCAACUGUUUAUUAAAAACACAGCACUGUGCAAACACGAAAGUGGACGUAUACGGUGUGACGCCUGCCCGGUGCCGGAAGGUUAAUUGAUGGGGUUAGCGCAAGCGAAGCUCUUGAUCGAAGCCCCGGUAAACGGCGGCCGUAACUAUAACGGUCCUAAGGUAGCGAAAUUCCUUGUCGGGUAAGUUCCGACCUGCACGAAUGGCGUAAUGAUGGCCAGGCUGUCUCCACCCGAGACUCAGUGAAAUUGAACUCGCUGUGAAGAUGCAGUGUACCCGCGGCAAGACGGAAAGACCCCGUGAACCUUUACUAUAGCUUGACACUGAACAUUGAGCCUUGAUGUGUAGGAUAGGUGGGAGGCUUUGAAGUGUGGACGCCAGUCUGCAUGGAGCCGACCUUGAAAUACCACCCUUUAAUGUUUGAUGUUCUAACGUUGACCCGUGAUCCGGGUUGCGGACAGUGUCUGGUGGGUAGUUUGACUGGGGCGGUCUCCUCCUAAAGAGUAACGGAGGAGCACGAAGGUUGGCUAAUCCUGGUCGGACAUCAGGAGGUUAGUGCAAUGGCAUAAGCCAGCUUGACUGCGAGCGUGACGGCGCGAGCAGGUGCGAAAGCAGGUCAUAGUGAUCCGGUGGUUCUGAAUGGAAGGGCCAUCGCUCAACGGAUAAAAGGUACUCCGGGGAUAACAGGCUGAUACCGCCCAAGAGUUCAUAUCGACGGCGGUGUUUGGCACCUCGAUGUCGGCUCAUCACAUCCUGGGGCUGAAGUAGGUCCCAAGGGUAUGGCUGUUCGCCAUUUAAAGUGGUACGCGAGCUGGGUUUAGAACGUCGUGAGACAGUUCGGUCCCUAUCUGCCGUGGGCGCUGGAGAACUGAGGGGGGCUGCUCCUAGUACGAGAGGACCGGAGUGGACGCAUCACUGGUGUUCGGGUUGUCAUGCCAAUGGCACUGCCCGGUAGCUAAAUGCGGAAGAGAUAAGUGCUGAAAGCAUCUAAGCACGAAACUUGCCCCGAGAUGAGUUCUCCCUGACUCCUUGAGAGUCCUGAAGGAACGUUGAAGACGACGACGUUGAUAGGCCGGGUGUGUAAGCGCAGCGAUGCGUUGAGCUAACCGGUACUAAUGAACCGUGAGGCUUAACCUUACAACGCCGAAG